UCCUCCCUCUGGCGGCGUGCCUAAUACAUGCAAGUCGAGCGGACUUUCAAGAAGCUUGCUUUUUGAAAGUUAGCGGCGGACGGGUGAGUAACACGUGGGCAACCUGCCUGCAAGACGGGGAUAACUCCGGGAAACCGGGGCUAAUACCGGAUAAUAUCUUCCUUCGCAUGAAGGAAGGUUGAAAGGCGGCGCAAGCUGCCGCUUGCAGAUGGGCCCGCGGCGCAUUAGCUAGUUGGUGAGGUAACGGCUCACCAAGGCGACGAUGCGUAGCCGACCUGAGAGGGUGAUCGGCCACACUGGGACUGAGACACGGCCCAGACUCCUACGGGAGGCAGCAGUAGGGAAUCUUCCGCAAUGGACGAAAGUCUGACGGAGCAACGCCGCGUGAGCGAAGAAGGUCUUCGGAUCGUAAAGCUCUGUUGUCAGGGAAGAACAAGUACCGUUCGAACAGGGCGGUACCUUGACGGUACCUGACCAGAAAGCCACGGCUAACUACGUG
rnacentral:rRNA from 1 species